rnacentral:rRNA from 1 species
UUUGUUUGUUUAUAUUUUGGUAUUGCAUACCAUUUAAAGAAAAUUUUAUAAAAAUAAAAUAUAGAAUUAAAAGGUAGAAAAAUUUAUUAUUUUUAUUGUUUCAUAAUAAAAAUUAUAAUUUUUAGGGUUGAAAAGUCGACUUUUAGGAUAUCUGUUUUAAGUUUAAGAUUAGAAAUUUAUUUUUGUAUAUUUUAAUUAUUAUAAAAAGUAUGAGUUGAAGUAUCUUUUAUACUAGUUUUAUAACUAUUUAUAUGGUUGUUUUUAAGUUAAAUAUAUUGGGAUGUAUAUAAUAAUUUUUUAUUAUAUUAAGUAUUUUAAAAUUAGUAGUUAAUAAAAUAAUGUAAGUGUUUUUAAUAUAAUCAAAGAACUCAAAAAUUAAUCAAAUGUUUAUUAAAGACUUAGACUUUCUAGUAAAGUUUGCUUCUGCCCAGUGAUUUAUUUUAAAUGGCAGUCUUAGCGUGAGGACAUUAAGGUAGCAAAAUAAUUUGUGCUUUUAUUGGGUUCCAGUAUGAAUGAAGUUAUUGGUUAAUUUAUUUUUUGAUUUUUAAAAUGAAUUUUUGUUUAAUUAUAAGAAAGUAUUGGUAUAAUAAAACAAAGAUAAGUCUUCGGAAAUUCUUUUUUAAUUAUAAUUAUAAAUUUAUAAUUAAAAAUUUUCUAGGGCAGAAUUUUAUAUAAUUAUUAUAUCUAUUAAUAAUUUAAUGAAUUACUCCGGAGUUAACAGAAAAUCAUAUCUAAUCUAGUUCUUAUAGUAAGAUAAGUUUUACAUCGAUGUUGUAUUUGAGUUUGUUAAAAAAGGAGAAGAUUUAAGUUUUAAGACUGUUCUUCUUUUAAUUAACUUAACGUGAUAUUAGUUUAAUUCAUUGUGAGAUAGAAUUGUUUAUCUUGUUUAUUAUUUUUAAAAAGUUUUAAUAGUACGAAAGGAAAAUUAAAAAAAGUUUUAAACUUUAUAAGUUAAAUUUG